GUGCUCAGGUCGUCCAAUCGCAGCAGCAAGAAUAUCCUGGCGACCCUCUGGAGUGAAUUGGCCUUGGGAGUUCUGCUCAACCAAGGCGUCCUGUAACAUUACAAAACACCAUUAUUCUUUAAAUAGUUUAAUGUAGUAUGUAUAAUGACAAUACUUAUUAUUUUAGGAACAAUGAUAACUUACAAUUCUUUUAGAAAUUUCUCGUGCAGUGUCGGAAGAGUAGGUGCCUGAUGGUCGCAUACGAGCCAACUUCCAUUUCUCAUGUCUAGACNGUGGAGAAGGAGGCUGAGGAGGGCUACCACCCUGAGAUGGUGGUAUAGCAUCUGCCUUUUGCUUGAGGAUUUUCUCCUCAAGCUUCCUAUACCCACCACGAGAUAAUAGGUGGGGGUUUUUGUUGUGAGCACUUGUUCCUUGUGCUUUGCUUCUAAUUGNCUGUCACAUACACAUUAAUUAAUUAGUUCAUAUGAUAUAUAUUUG
rnacentral:lncRNA from 1 species